rnacentral:rRNA from 1 species
AGCGGCGGACGGGUGAGUAAUGCCUGGGAAUAUGCCCUGAUGUGGGGGAUAACUAUUGGAAACGAUAGCUAAUACCGCAUAAUCUCUUCGGAGCAAAGAGGGGGACCUUUGGGCCUCUCGCGUCAGGAUUAGCCCAGGUGGGAUUAGCUUGUUGGUGAGGUAAUGGCUCACCAAGGCAACGAUCCCUAGCUGGUCUGAGAGGAUGAUCAGCCACACUGGAACUGAGACACGGUCCAGACUCCUACGGGAGGCAGCAGUGGGGAAUAUUGCACAAUGGGGGAAACCCUGAUGCAGCCAUGCCGCGUGUGUGAAGAAGGCCUUCGGGUUGUAAAGCACUUUCAGUAGGGAGGAAGGUAGUGUAGUUAACACCUGCACUAUUUGACGUUACCUACAGAAGAAGCACCGGCUAACUCCGUGCCAGCAGCCGCGGUAAUACGGAGGGUGCGAGCGUUAAUCGGAAUUACUGGGCGUAAAGCGCAUGCAGGCGGCCUGUUAAGUCAGAUGUGAAAGCCCGGGGCUUAACCUCGGAAUUGCAUUUGAAACUGGCAGG